UACGGAGGGUGCAAGCGUUAUCCGGAUUCACUGGGGUUAAAGGGUGCGUAGGCGGUCAGGUAAGUCCGUGGUGAAAUCUCUGAGCUUAACUCAGAAACUGCCAUGGAUACUAUUUGUCUUGAAUGUUGUGGAGGUAAGCGGAAUAUGUCAUGUAGCGGUGAAAUGCUUAGAUAUGACAUAGAACACCAAUUGCGAAGGCAGCUUACUACACAAAUAUUGACGCUGAGGCACGAAAGCGUGGGGAUCAAACAGG
rnacentral:rRNA from 1 species